rnacentral:rRNA from 1 species
UACGUAGGGGGCGGGCGUUGUCCGGAAUUAUUGGGCGUAAAGAGCUCGUAGGCGGUCUGUCGCGUCGAAUGUGGAAACCCGGGGCUCAACUCCGGGCUUGCAUUCGAUACGGGCAGGCUAGAGUUCGGUAGGGGAGUCUGGAAUUCCUGGUGUAGCGGUGAAAUGCGCAGAUAUCAGGAGGAACACCGGUGGCGAAGGCGGGCCUCUGGGCCGAUACUGACGCUGAGGAGCGAAAGCGUGGGGAGCGAACAGG